rnacentral:rRNA from 1 species
GACGAACGCUGGCGGCGUGCUUAACACAUGCAAGUCGAACGGAAAGGCCCCUUUGGGGGUACUCGAGUGGCGCACGGGUGAGUAACACGUGCGUAACCUGCCCUUGACUUCGGGAUAACUUCAGGAAACUGGGGCUAAUACCGGAUAGGAAUCCUUGCUGCAUGGUGGGGGUUGGAAAGCUUCGGCGGGUUUGGAUGGACUCGCGGCUUAUCAGCUUGUUGGUGGGGUAGUGGCUUACCAAGGCUUUGACGGGUAGCCGGCCUGAGAGGGCGACCGGCCACAUUGGGACUGAGAUACGGCCCAGACUCCUACGGGAGGCAGCAGUGGGGAAUAUUGCACAAUGGGCGGAAGCCUGAUGCAGCAACGCCGCGUGCGGGAUGACGGCCUUCGGGUUGUAAACCGCUUUCAGCAGGGGCGAAGCUUGUGGUGACGGUACCUGCAGAAGAAGCACCGGCUAACUACGUG